GGUUAAGUUAGAAAGGGCGCACGGUGGAUGCCUUGGCACUAGGAGCCGAAGAAGGACGGGACUAACACCGAUAUGCUUUGGGGAGCUGUACGUAAGCGUUGAUCCAGAGAUUUCCGAAUGGGGGAACCCACUAUCUUUAGUCGGAUAGUAUCCUUACGUGAAUACAUAGCGUAAGGAAGGCAGACCCAGGGAACUGAAACAUCUAAGUACCUGGAGGAAGAGAAAGAAAAAUCGAUUUCCUGAGUAGCGGCGAGCGAAACGGAAAGAGCCCAAACCAAGAAGCUUGCUUCUUGGGGUUGUAGGACACUCUAUACGGAGUUACAAAAGAAAGUUAUAAAUGAAGCGGUCUGGAAAGGCCCGCCAAAGACGGUAACAGCCCGGUAGUUGAAAUGGCUUUCCCUCCAGAGUGGAUCCUGAGUACGGCGGAACACGUGAAAUUCCGUCGGAAUCCGGGAGGACCAUCUCCCAAGGCUAAAUACUCCCUAGUGACCGAUAGUGAACCAGUACCGUGAGGGAAAGGUGAAAAGCACCCCGGAAGGGGAGUGAAACAGUUCCUGAAACCGUGUGCCUACAAGUAGUUAGAGCCCGUUAAUGGGUGAUAGCGUGCCUUUUGUAGAAUGAACCGGCGAGUUACGAUUUGUUGCAAGGUUAAGCGGAAAAAGCGGAGCCGUAGCGAAAGCGAGUCUGAAUAGGGCGCAUAAGUAACAGGUCGUAGACCCGAAACCAGGUGAUCUACCCAUGUCCAGGAUGAAGGUAAGGUAAUACUUACUGGAGGUCCGAACCCACGCACGUUGAAAAGUGCGGGGAUGAGGUGUGGGUAGCGGAGAAAUUCCAAUCGAACUUGGAGAUAGCUGGUUCUCUCCGAAAUAGCUUUAGGGCUAGCCUCGAGGUAAAGAGUCAUGGAGGUAGAGCACUGUUUGGACUAGGGGCCCUUCUCGGGUUACCGAAUUCAGAUAAACUCCGAAUGCCAUGUACUUAUACUCGGGAGUCAGACUGCGAGUGAUAAGAUCCGUAGUCGAAAGGGAAACAGCCCAGACCACCAGUUAAGGUCCCCAAAUAUAUGUUAAGUGGAAAAGGAUGUGGGGUUGCUUAGACAACCAGGAUGUUGGCUUAGAAGCAGCCACCAUUGAAAGAGUGCGUAAUAGCUCACUGGUCGAGUGACCCCGCGCCGAAAAUGUACCGGGGCUAAACAUAUUACCGAAACUGUGGAUGAACCUCUUCGGAGGUUCGUGGUAGGAGAGCGU
rnacentral:rRNA from 1 species